UACGGGGGGGGCAAGCGUUGUUCGGAAUUACUGGGCGUAAAGGGUGCGUAGGCGGUCCGCUAAGUUGGAUGUGAAAUCCCUCGGCUUAACCGAGGAACUGCGUCCGAUACUGAAAGGCUUGAAUCCGGGAGAGGGAUGUGGAAUUCCAGGUGUGGCGGUGAAAUGCGUAGAUAUCUGGAGGAACACCGGUGGCGAAGGCGGCAUCCUGGACCGGCAUUGACGCUGAGGCGCGAAAGCUAGGGGAGCAAACGGG
rnacentral:rRNA from 1 species